CUCGCAAUAGCUCAGCUGGAAGAGCAUGGGACUGUAAUGUGAUUUCUACUCUCAGUAUCUGAGAGAAUCUGAACAUGUUAAUCGAGCCUGUCACAAGGUUCAAGCCGACAUCCUGGGGUCGGGUGUUCGAUUCACCCUUGCGAGA
rnacentral:tRNA from 1 species